rnacentral:lncRNA from 1 species
AUUAUUUAUAAUCCACAUGUUGUACAAAAGAUUGGAAUGGUGAAAUACAGAAAAAUUCUUUCUGUUAUCCUGGAUGUCAACGAAAAUAAGGUCAUUGUCAACACAGCCCAAAUAAUCCAAUGUACAAAUGUGAAACCAUACUCCAAAGGAGGUGGAACAAAAAAAGUAGUUUCAACUUUUAGACCAAAGUUUCUUAGUUUCACUCCAUUCAGAAUUAGGAAUGUCUAUCAAAUGUUAAGUACUCAAUGUAAUGCUACAAACUAUCUCUAUCAAAUGUUUCUUAGUUGCACGUUAGUAAGAAUGAUUCCUCUAUCUUGCUUUGCUUGCGUCACAGCAGUCC